rnacentral:lncRNA from 1 species
AGUUUAUAGUAUCCGUUAUACUUUAGCGCAGAAAGAAAUUCUAUGACGUGUUUUCAACUUUGAAUCGCUUCUGCCGUCUGCAGCCAGCAAAAGCAUGGCCUUCGAGAUCGGAUUAUACUAUCCAUAGGAAGCCGUCGCUAGGGCUAGAUUAGGA